CACGUAGUUAGCCGUGGCUUUCUGAUUAGGUACCGUCAAGAUGUGCACAGUUACUUACACAUUUGUUCUUCCCUAAUAACAGAGUUUUACGAGCCGAAACCCUUCAUCAUUCACGCGGCGUUGCUCCGUCAGGCUUUCGCCCAUUGCGGAAGAUUCCCUACUGCUGCCUCCCGUAGGAGUCUGGACCGUGUCUCAGUUCCAGUGUGGCCGAUCACCCUCUCAGGUCGGCUACGUAUCGUCGCCUUGGUAAGCCGUUACCUUACCAACUAGCUAAUACGGCGCGGGUCCAUCUAUAAGUGAUAGCAAAACCAUCUUUCACUUUAGAACCAUGCGGUUCUAAAUGUUAUCCGGUAUUAGCUCCGGUUUCCCGAAGUUAUCCCAGUCUUAUAGGUAGGUUACCCACGUGUUACUCACCCGUCCGCCGCUAACUUCAAAGGAGCAAGCUCCUUAUCUGUUCGCUCGACUUGCAUGUAUUAGGCACGCCGCCAGCGUUCAUCCUGAGCCAGGAUCAAACUCU
rnacentral:rRNA from 1 species